AUUGAACGCUGGCGGCAUGCCUUACACAUGCAAGUCGAACGGCAGCACGGGGGCAACCCUGGUGGCGAGUGGCGAACGGGUGAGUAAUACAUCGGAACGUGUCCUGUAGUGGGGGAUAGCCCGGCGAAAGCCGGAUUAAUACCGCAUACGAUCUGUGGAUGAAAGCGGGGGAUCUUAGGACCUCGCGCUGCAGGGGCGGCCGAUGGCAGAUUAGCUAGUUGGUGGGGUAAAGGCCUACCAAGGCGACGAU
rnacentral:rRNA from 1 species